rnacentral:rRNA from 1 species
CCUACGGGAGGCAGCAGUCGAGAAUCAUUCACAAUGGGGGAAACCCUGAUGGUGCGACGCCGCGUGGGGGAAUGAAGGUCUUCGGAUUGUAAACCCCUGUCAUGUGGGAGCAAAUUAAAAAGAUAGUACCACAAGAGGAAGAGACGGCUAACUCUGUGCCAGCAGCCGCGGGAAUACAGAGGUCUCAAGCGUUGUUCGGAAUCACUGGGCGUAAAGCGUGCGUAGGCAGUUUCGUAAGGCGUGUGUGAAAGGCGCGGGCUCAACCCGCGGACGGCACAUGAUACUGCGUGACUAGAGUAAUGGAGGGGGAAGCGGAAUUCUCGGUGUAGCAGUGACAUGCGUAGAUAUCGAGAGGAACACUCGUGGCGAAGGCAGGUUCCUGGACAUUAACUGACGCUGAGGCACGAAGGCCAGGGGAGCGAAAGGGAUUAGAUACCCUAGUAGUC